GACGAACGCUGGCGGCGUGCUUAACACAUGCAAGUCGAACGGAAAGGCCCUGCUUUUGUGGGGUGCUCGAGUGGCGAACGGGUGAGUAACACGUGAGUAACCUGCCCUUGACUUUGGGAUAACUUCAGGAAACUCGGGCUCAUACCGGAUAUGAGCUCCUGCUGCAUGGUGGGGGUUGGAAAGUUUCGGCGGUUGGGGAUGGACUCGCGGCUUAUCAGCUUGUUGGUGGGGUAGUGGCUUACCAAGGCUUUGACGGGUAGCCGGCCUGAGAGGGUGACCGGCCACAUUGGGACUGAGAUACGGACCAGACUCCUACGGGAGGCAGCAGUGGGGAAUAUUGCACAAUGGGCGGAAGCCUGAUGCAGCAACGCCGCGUGCGGGAUGACGGCCUUCGGGUUGUAAACCGCUUUCGCCUGUGACGAAGCGUGAGUGACGGUAAUGGGUAAAGAAGCACCGGCUAACUACGUG
rnacentral:rRNA from 1 species